GCCGGGCACAGUGGCACACGCCUGUAAUCCCAGGGGCUCGGGAGGCUGAGUCAGGAGGAUCACAAGUUCAAAGCCAGCCUCAGCAACAGUGAGGCGCUAAGCAACUCGGUGAGACCCUGUCUCUA
rnacentral:sRNA from 1 species